rnacentral:rRNA from 1 species
UGGAACAACCCUCGGCAAGGGAUUUCUGGGCUCUGGCACCAAUAAAAAGCGCACGAAAUUCCAAUACUGGUUGUAAUUGGAAAAUUCCCGCGAACCAUCGGUAAUUUGAACGCAGUCGCGCCCGAGGCCAAUUGGCUAAGGCACGUCCGCC